UUUUUUUUUUUUUUCCCCUUUUCUCUUUUUCCCUCCCUUUCCUCCCUCUCCCCGCAGCCGGGACUGGAGUCUCCUCAGCGUAACUCCGGUGCUUUCGCAGCCGCAGUCAAAGAUACAUUAUCCAUGUUAAGUUAUUAUUUGUACGAUUCUGAGAGGCACUUUGCAGUUCCCAGUAACAGGAGUAUGAACUAUGGCAAUGCAUUGUCUCCCUCCUGAUCUUGGAUUACAGUCCACACUGAAAAAAAAAUUAAAGUGAUUUAAAGUUUAAGUGGA